AAAGUUCGAUACCAAUCACCACUUUAGCCUUUCCAAAAUGCCAUUGUCAAGGGCAGAACCACUAUAAAGGACCUGAUGUGGACUCUCUCUAUCUCUCUCUCUCUCUCUCUCUCUCUCUCUCUCUCUCUCUCUCUCUCGUCAGACUCGGAGAGUUUGAAAACGACGUGUCUCGCGUUAGGCGAGGUGAGGGCUUGGAGGUAGUUGCCAUACUCAAUGUAAGUUAAGAGGUCAUUGAUUAGAGGGUGGAGGUGGUGGGUGGAGGUGGGAUUGAUCGGACGGUUGGAGAUGGGAUGACGGAUCGAACGACGAAAGGGAAUGGGGAUUGCGAAUGGGGGUUGGUGGCAUAACUGGGUCUGCAACUAUAGGUGUCAAAGGACGAUGAGCUUGCUUCAUAUAGAAAGUUUAUUUUGACAAUUUGAGAUGUUCUGUGGCAUUCUCCUAUGUGUUGUGUUGUUGGUUUCUAUUUGGGGUUUUCUGUUUUGUAACGGUCUUUGUUGUUUUGUGUUGGACUCUCUUGUUAGUCCACGACAUAUGCGACACUAGUCUUUCUUACCUUAGGAUUUGUCCCAUGUGAUUUUCUUAGGAAGGUUUUAAUGAGGUUACUGUUUGCAUGCCGGUCUUUGUAUG